rnacentral:tRNA from 1 species
GCGGCGUAGCCAAGUGGUCUAAGGCGACGGUUUGCAAAACCGUUAUUCCUCGGUUCAAAUCCGGGCGC